rnacentral:rRNA from 1 species
CCCUUAGAUGUUUUGGGCUGCACGCGCGCUACACUGAUGCACUCAACGAGUUUACGACCUUGCCCGAUAGGGUUGGGUAAUCUUUUUAAAAUGCAUCGUGAUGGGGAUAGAUUAUUGCAAUUAUUAAUCUUCAACGAGGAAUUCCUAGUAAGCGCGAGUCAUCAGCUCGUGCUGAUUACGUCCCUGCCCUUUGUACACACCGCCCGUCGCUCCUACCGAUUGAGUGCUCAGGUGAAUAAUUCGGACUGCAGCAAUGUUUGGAUCCCGAACGUUGCAGCGGAAAGUUUAGUGAACCUUAUCACUUAGAGGAAGGAGAAGUCGUAACA